rnacentral:rRNA from 1 species
GACGGAGGAUGCAAGUGUUAUCCGGAAUCACUGGGCGUAAAGCGUCUGUAGGUGGUUUAAAAAGUCUACUGUUAAAAAUUGAAGCUUAACUUCAAAGAUGCCGUAGAAACUUUAAACUUGAGGAUGGUAGGGGUAGAGGGAAUUUCCAGUGGAGCGGUGAAAUGCGUAGAUAUCUGGAGGAACAUCAGUGGCGAAGGCGACACCCUGGACUCAUACUGACAUUGAGGUGCGAAAGCGUGGGGAGCAAACAGG